UACGUAGGGGGCUAGCGUUGUCCGGAAUCAUUGGGCGUAAAGAGCGUGUAGGCGGUCCGGUAAGUCCGUUGUGAAAGUCAAGGGCUCAACCCUUGAAUGCCGGCGGAUACUGUCGGGCUAGAGUCCGGAAGAGGCAAGUGGAAUUCCCGGUGUAGCGGUGAAAUGCGCAGAUAUCGGGAGGAACACCUAUGGCGAAGGCAGCUUGCUGGGACGGUACUGACGCUGAGGAGCGAAAGCGUGGGUAGCAAACAGG
rnacentral:rRNA from 1 species